GGCGUGUGAUGCUGUGUCUUCCCCGAGGGGUGCUGAUGUUUCUCACCCCAAAAGGUAGGAAUACUGGGGUUGAGAAAGGAAUAGUAAUUUACCAAAGGACACACAAUUGAGAGUAUUAACACCUGGUCUGGGGCUCUCCAAGUCCAAACAGAAUCCAGGCAGAAUGUGAAG